rnacentral:snoRNA from 1 species
ACUGGCGUUCACAAGGGGUUGGGGUCUCAGUCAUACCCGGCCGUUGAUAGCGCAAGGAGCAGAGCUCUGAACGCGUCUCCCGUGUUCGAUGGGUUCGAUCCUGUCCCUCCCAAAUCCUGUAGCUUUCAGACA